UUAUUAUAAAUGGGUUGUGACGGGUUUCAGAAGUCUGUUUUGGAUUAAUAGCGCCUGAGUACUUUAGUUCUAAUUUUUAAUCGACUGUCUAGAUAGGUUUAACUUAGAAUAUUUUUGUACGUUAUGAUCGUAGUAUGGAUGUGAUGGUAUGAAUGUAUGUUGAUAAUCUAUUUGCAUUUUUUGGUUAUACUUUCAUGAAUUGUUUAAUAUUUAUUAUUUCCUGUCUUGAAUUGGAUAUAUCAGCGGAUGAUUUAGAUAAUCGGAGAAGAGAAGGAAAAAUAAUCUUUUAACGCCUCCUCGAUAUCGAUACCGUUACAGUGUAUCUUUGUAUGCCCUCUGGGCCCAAAAUUGGAAAUGAAUUACUUACUUAGUCGUAUAUGAAAGGUGAAGAUAACGAACAGUGAUCAAUCUCAUAACUCCUAUAAGCAAUACAAAAUAGAGUUGGGCAAACAUGGACCCCUGGAUAUACCAGAGGUGGGAUCAAGUGUCUAGAAGGCCUAAGCACCCCCUGUCGACCGACCACACCCGCCGUGAGCCCUAUAUCUUGAUCAAAUGAUCAAUACGUAAAAUGGUUGACUGAAUAUAUUGCAUAAUUUGUUUCCUGUUUAUUAAAAACGUGAAUCUUCCGCAUUCACUAACGUUCCAUCAGGAUAUAACACACUUAACUAUUAUUGAAAAAUAAAUAUUUGAAGGGAAAUAAAUCAUAGGGUUUCCAUUCUAUGUUUCCAAAGCGUAGAUCGAAUGGAAUUGAUAUUUCAAAUGAAAAUUUUUAAUUCACAAGGAUGUCGAGAUAUCAUAGGAUUAGCCUUAUUGGCUUUAACACUCAAUGCGGAAACAACAAAUAAAGGCAACUGUAUGAACGAUCGGUAGGUCAAACAAGGGUAUGUACGUAGACAAAUAGCCAACUGUUAAAAUGGACACGAUAUUAAUAUUUCUAUAUGUACUCUUUAUUACAUAUUUUGAUAUUUUUUCCUAUAGAUUCUAUUUAGAGUGCCUGAGCUUUUAUUGAGCUAUGAUUGUCGGUAAUGCGGACGCUCAGGGGCUAUUUGACUUAAAUGUGACAUUUGCCUACAUAACACGAUUAUUGUGAUAUCAGAUUUCAAGACCCUAUAUUGAGAAUAGACUUAAGUCUAUAUUUCGAUUCCAAUUAAUUUUUGAAAUAAUUUUCAUAAGCAAAAAACAUUUUCAAAAUAUGUUUGUAUUUGAUUUGUAUAAAUAAACCAGCAUUUUUUUUUUAAAAUCUGUGGUAAUGAAAUCUUAAAUUAUAAGUAAGCAACAUUUUGAUUAAAGCCUAUUCUCAGUUUAUGGUCUUGUGAGUGAAAUCAAUCUAGUGAAAAGGUAGAUCUACUUGUAUAUCAAUACAUUUGGAAUUUUAAUCAUAGGUUAAUUUUUUCUCAAUAUUUACUGAAUUUACAACAGUACACAAUUUAAUCCUUUGUAAAAGUACAAAUGUAUUGAAAAUAUCAUAAUAUAGAUAUUCCUGUUAGAUUUAUUGGAAGAUAGAAUCUAAAUACAAAUUUUUUCCCAAAGGCGAGUGCUGCAUUUUUACCAUAACAAUGGUGGUUACCCUCCCUGUCCUACAGGUUCCUAUGGAGAUAACUGUUCCACUACUUGUCCAUACCCGUCGUAUGGGGAGAACUGUGGUUUCCAGUGUAAAUGUAGUGCGGAUGAAGUGUGUAGUCCCCAUAUAGGGUGUGUCAAAACAAGUACUGCAUCCACUUUUUCUACAAAAACCAAAGCCGGAAACUACAUGACGUCCACUCAAAACUCCAUAAACCCGGAAAUUGAUGCUGCAAUAAAUAACACCUCUUGUAUGUCCAAAUAAUUAUGAAAAGCCGAAAUUUUAUUCAACUUCCUUCAUGUAUUACGCUUUCAUAUUUCAGUGAAAAGUACAAAAGUUUAAACGCAUACAAAAGGAUCAUUCUUGGAUAUCUUUUGUUUUCAAUGUUGUCUUCCCAUAAUGUUUCAUAGUAACAAAAUGUGAACUUAGUAUUCUAUUUUACUAGUGAUUUUCUUCCUUUUUUCAAAAUAGCAUCUUUUGCAUUGACUAACAAAUCAUCCACUUCUAUUUCCCUUUACUUCUCUUCUGUCAUUUCAACACCUUUCUAUGUGAUGAAGUAGUUUUAAUGUACAGAAAAGUCGUUUUAAAGGUGACAAUGUAUAAACCUGACAAUAUAGGAAGGUUAUUGAAAGUUCGCAUAUGUAAAAAUAAUAUAUGUAGCUAUUCUCAAACUUAAUUUAGAAACUAUUUUCAAUGGAGAAAAAUAUCACAUGAACAUAUCCAGUUAUUCAAUGGCAGCUUUUGAAUUCUAUAAAUCCAUCAAAUAAAGUACAUGUACACGGGAAAAGGUAAGUAAAUCAAACAAGUAUUUAUAAUAUUUCCGUUUAUCUACCCGUCUCACUUAGUAUUUGUAGCUGAUAAAUCCUAUUCCCUAGAAAUAAAAAAGAUGUCAACUUUAACUAUUAUGACAUGAAAUCCCCGGUAAUAAUUACACUAGAGGUGAACUAGUGCUUGAAAUGAAAAAGUGUCUUUGGUGGACAUUAUACCGAUAAAUCACCAUUCAUUUAAAAUAUAAAUUCUGCCUUUUCAUAUUAUGUUGUGUCUAUUUUACGAUAUUAAAAUUGAAUGCUAGGGCGUUCCAUUUAUUUAUUCUGAUUAUCCUCACAAAGCAUCCAUGAUAAAAACUUCGUGUAAUUUCGGAUAAAUCUCUUUUUAUCUUAAUAUUGAUGUUUUCAAGAUGAAAAAGACGUACAUAAUAUCCGAUUUUCAAUGUCCAAGACAUUGUUCACCACCAUUUUCUCACUACUUUUAAAUCUGACGGUCAAUCUGGAGUUCACGCGUGGGUUGAAAUUGGUUUUAAAAACCAAACAUACAGGUUUAUCACAACACUUACAGCAAACCCCAAAGUGGCAUAUCUAAAGUUGAAAUGGAAUGAAAGGUGAGUUAGGUGUCUUUAUUAUAUAUCGAAUCAAACAUAUUUCAUUUAUUUGCUGCGGUGUACCAUCUCACUGCUUAUUACUUCUUUAUGCUAAAUACAUGUAGAUGAUAUUUGGUGCAAGGAAUUAUAAGUAGUAUUUUUGAAACUGAGAUGUCUUAUUUUUUUUUAUAUUAAAUAUUGUAAUAUUUCCCUCAGAUUUUUCGCUAUGGAAUCAAUGUUACAUUCUGUCAUUCUUAAAUUAGGGAGAACGUACAGAAAGGAUUAUUGUUUUCUACUUUCAUGAAUUAUUGAUAAAAAAAUUCAGUUGCUGAUAUAUCAAGAAUUUCAUAAUAUUUUUAUAGAUAUUCAACAAUUCAAAUCUAUUGUCUAAAAUUCGAAUUAUUGGUGUCCAGAAUUCACCUCGUCUUUUCAUAUCAGUAAAAAGAUAGGAAUUUAAGGAGGGAUUUGGCUUCACUAACGGGAGCUUUAGCUACAACUCCAGAUGAUCCAGCCCUACAACCACCAACAUGUGAUGCGAAUUUCCAUAAUCCAGAAGCUCAAUAUUUGCUGUGUUUCACGUAGUUGAAAUGAAGUGUCCUCUCAAUCACAUGCAGCACAUUCAACAAUAGAUGAUGCAAUACAGUCUAAAGAGCCUUGAGUCAACCCAUCCCUGCUAUCACUAUGCCCAAGGAUAUUUCCAUUUAUACAACAAUAACGGUUGUGAUUUGAUUAUUUCGACUAAAGUAGGCUGUCAAAUUGUUCGGAUCAUGAAGGACUCCGAGUUGACAAAAAAAAACCCCACAUUGCACAGCCGAUACGAUUUUUUCAACGCUUUUAUUCCUGAAAUAAUUCAAGGGAACAUACAAGCAGAGCUGCCGUAUACGGUGCAAAUUAUUUUACAUCCACAUAGCCAGCUUGUCAAAUAUGCCAAGUAGCCAUUUUAAUCCCUAAGUGAAGAGGGUGUACCGAUAGAGUAGAGUAACUUGCCCCGGGAUACAAAUGAUACCACAGAAUUUAGCUACUGACCGGAGGUUUUUCAGCACUGUAUACUGUAUCAUUUAUAUGUGAACAUGUUAUAAAACUUAUAAGCAAAUGAUUUUCCUAGGUGAAAAUGAGACAUGAGAUAAAAUAUUUUAUCAUCUGAAAUGAUGAAAUAACAAUUUAAUCAAGUUGUUUCUUUCAAAAGGGUGCUUGCAAUGUUACAAGAGAGCUACAAAGUUGGAAAAUAUUUGUUGAUAUAGGUGUGUAUAUUGCUGGAAUGUGACGGAGAAUUUUAUGGUUCUUGAUACCCUCAUUUGCUUUUUCAACAUGACUACGGACUCUCGCUAUCU